rnacentral:rRNA from 1 species
UACGGAAGGCAGCAGUGGGGAAUAUUGCACAAUGGGCGCAAGCCUGAUGCAGCCAUGCCGCGUGUAUGAAGAAGGCCUUCGGGUUGUAAAGUACUUUCAGUCGUGAGGAAGGUGUUAAGGUUAAUAACCUUAGCAAUUGACGUUAGCGACAGAAGAAGCACCGGCUAACUCCGUGCCAGCAGCCGCGGUAAUACGGAGGGUGCGAGCGUUAAUCGGAAUUACUGGGCGUAAAGGGCACGCAGGCGGUUAAUUAAGUUGGAUGUGAAAUCCCCGGGCUUAACCUGGGAAUGGCAUUCAAGACUGGUUAGCUAGAGUCUUGUAGAGGGGGUAGAAUUCCAUGUGUAGCGGUGAAAUGCGUAGAGAUGUGGAGGAAUACCGGUGGGCGAAGGCGGGCCCCUGGGACAAAGGACUGACGCUCAUGUGCGAAAGCGUGGGGAGCAAAC